rnacentral:rRNA from 1 species
GUGGGGAAUCUUGCGCAAUGGGCGAAAGCCUGACGCAGCCAUGCCGCGUGAAUGAUGAAGGUCUUAGGAUUGUAAAAUUCUUUCACCGGGGACGAUAAUGACGGUACCCGGAGAAGAAGCCCCGGCUAACUUCGUGCCAGCAGCCGCGGUAAUACGAAGGGGGCUAGCGUUGCUCGGAAUUACUGGGCGUAAAGGGCGCGUAGGCGGACAGUUUAGUCAGAGGUGAAAGCCCAGGGCUCAACCUUGGAAUUGCCUUUGAUACUGGCUGUCUUGAGUACGGGAGAGGUGAGUGGAACUCCGAGUGUAGAGGUGAAAUGCGUAGAUAUUCGGAAGAACACCAGUGGCGAAGGCGACUCACUGGCCCAAUACUGACGCUGAGGCGCGAAAGCGUGGGGAGCAAACAGGAUUAGAUACCCUGGUAGUCC